GUGGGCGGGAGGGGCUGGGGUGCACCCGCCCAUGGGGUCCAAGAGGAGCCUAGAGCCCAAGGGCCUGCAGGCUUCUGCUCAGUGGAAGCUGCUGCAGGCCACAGGGACCUCGGAUCUAAGGAAUCUCAUUCCCUUGCAAGAUAUCUGAGAAGAGUUCCUUUUCAGUAAAGCCGUCCUAUAAAGGAGCCUCCAGCUUGGUUUCAUUUUGGGCUGAACACCUACCUGGUCUUCCUUCAGUGUCUCCUUUGCUUGGUCAGAGAUGCCAAGAAACUGGAGUAGCAGCUACAACUUUAUCUGGCACAGUCUGGCAAAUCCAUCAACACUAAAAUUCCAACAGAUGACAUGUGCCCUUGAAUUCUCUGGUGAUGACAGAGAACUGCAAAAGCCAGGAUGGAUGCAGAUCCUGGAAAAGAGGAGGGAAUCCCAGGAGGAUAGAGAGAGCCCAGAUCAAACCUCAAUGGGAUUUUCUAAGACAGCCCGACUUUUCUUCACUGCGACCCUGAUCUCAAGUCUACUGUGGGGGGACAGAGGCCCACGCCCAGGGGAGAAGACUGCUGCGGCCAGUAAAACUGAGCACCGGGUGCAAUGGAGUAAGGAAGGAGGGGAAAGAACUGAAGGGGCUUUUUGGACAGUCCAAAGGAUCGGACAACCCCCUCAGUGGUUUUUUUUUUUUUUUUCCCUGUAGUGACCCCAUUCUGCCCCAUGGAUGUCACUUUUCUCUCUUUCUCUCCCUCCCUCGCUCUCUCCCCUUCUUUUUUGGAGGUUUUGGGGAGGGGAAGCAAGCUGAGGGAGGUGGGAAGAGACUUUUUUUCACAUGAGUCCUCAGAAUUACAGUUCACAAACUAUUCAGUAAACUGACCGGCCUCAACCUCCCCUUCAACGGCCUAAUCUAAGGGGUGGAUCUAUGUGUUUUGUUGCUUGUCAGAAACAAUCGCUGAGCGGCCCAUUACAUUUACAGCACGUCGCCCUUUAAUUGGUGUAACACGCUGAGGCCUGAAAGGAGGAGAGGCCCACAAAAGCGCCCGUGAAUGAGCCUUGACUCACACAAAAACACUCUGCAGAAGUUCAGAGCUGGCCACUAACAAGGAGGUAGGGAGUUAGUUUGAAAAGGGGGUGAAGUUCAGAAAUGUGUCACCUUGAGGAGCCUCCCAUCAAAGCAAUGGUCGCAUUGACAAGCUGCAAAGAAAAAAAGUUAAACCUUCAGGGCUGUGGACUUGCCUGCUGGAUUUAUUCUUUUUAAACUUGAGGA